rnacentral:rRNA from 1 species
UACGGAGGAUGCAAGCGUUAUCCGGAAUGAUUGGGCGUAAAGGGUCCGCAGGUGGCAUUGUUUGUCUGCUGUUAAAGAGUUUGGCUCAACCAAAUAAGAGCAGUGGAAACUACAAAGCUAGAGUAUGAUCGGGGCAGAGGGAAUUCCUGGUGUAGCGGUGAAAUGCGUAGAUAUCAGGAAGAACACCGGUGGCGAAGGCGCUCUGCUAGGCCAAAACUGACACUGAGGGACGAAAGCUAGGGGAGCGAAUGGG